rnacentral:misc_RNA from 1 species
AACGCACAUUGCGCCCCCUGGCAUUCCGGGGGGCAUGCCUGUCCGAGCGUCAUUUCUGCCCUCAAGCACGGCUUGUGUGUUGGGUGUGGUCCCCCUGGGGACCUGCCUGAAAGGCAGUGGCGACGCCCGCCUAGGUCCUCGAGCGUAUGGGGCUUUGUCACUCGCUCUGCAGGGCCGGCCGGCGCCAGCCGUCCACAACCUUUUUUUUUUUACCAGGUUGACCUCGGAUCAGGUAGGGAUACCCGCUGAACUUAA